rnacentral:rRNA from 1 species
AAUAUUUUGGCAGUAUUUUAGUUUAUUUAGAGGAAUCUGUUUAUUAAUUGAUAAUCCACGAUUAAAUUUACUUAAUUUAUUAUUUUGUAUAUCAUUGUUAAAAAAAUAUUUUUUAAUAAUAAUAAUAUUUAAAAAUUUUAAAAAAAAUUAAAUCAAAUCAAGAUGCAGAUUAUAAUUAAGAAUGAAUGGGUUACAAUAAAAUUAUUUAAAUGAAUUUUAAUUUGUAAUAGUUAUAUGAAGGUGGAUUUAAAUGUAAUUU